rnacentral:lncRNA from 1 species
GGCCUCCCAGUCAUGUCUCCAUUCCUUCGUGACUCCUUGUCAGUGUCUCACAUCCUCUACCUCAGCCUUCCCAAUUAAUGGCUUCGUUAUCGUACCAUUGUCCUCUUGCCGACCAUGCUCCUCAACUUUGGUUGUACCUGUGAACCACUCCACUCCAUCUCGGUGGUUCUGUCCCUUCCCAUUUGCCACUACAUUUUGCCUUGGCUCUUACCCUUGGCUCUUCUCCUGCCCAUCUCAAAGGCUUCACCUAUCUCUUGCUCUUCGUCCACCUCCUUGCCUUUGCUGUCCACCAUCUUCUCCUUUUUCUUUUGGAGCCCCAAGAUAAUUCAUGUUUUUCCUUAUAUUUGUCAGACAUCAGAUAGGCUAGAUGGUAAAGGGAUAGGAUAUGUGAUUGCUAUUGCAGAAGAUCAAGAUGGUGUGAAGAUUAGAUUGGCAACCAAGGAGAUUGAUAAGCUUGGAGAAAUUUGAGCAGGUUAGAUGGAGUUCUGUCUUGUUAAUAUUUGAGGUUAUAAGCAAAUUAAAGGGCUAAAAAGAAUCUUGCAUUUGAACCUUGGGCCAUUUUGUUUCCUUUACAGUAUCAAAGGUAGUCCUCUGCUGCUCUUCUUUCAGUACAAUGAUCAUUUUCUUCUGUAUAAUAGUUAUGAAAUAUGAAGAGUUGUUACUUUUGGAGAUUUCUAAUUGUUUAUUAAGAAAAGCCUGCAGGUCGUGACAUUCUGUACCAAUAACACAGAGGAGCAGCAUUAAAAAAUUUAACCUCUGAGAAUUGAUCACUUCAAGCUUUUACCUUUGACAAGUUGCUUAUGCUGGUCUCUCUGCAUAGAUGAUCAUCAUGUUAUAAUAUUUUAAUGUUAAUAAUUUAUCCAGACAAUUUUGAUUUUUUACUUCAUAUAAUUUUGUGAUAAUGAUGGAUUAUUUUAUUUUGAUACAGAUGCUUCAAGAAUAUAAUCAUGUAAAACCACAUGAUGAAGAGAAAUAUGAAAUCUUUUUAGAUUCGAUGGUAAGAUGAUCCGUCUGCACAUUUGCAAGGAACGUUUUCUAUUCAGCAUUGUAGAAGAACAGUUGAAUGGGAGUUAUACCUUGUCCUUGAUUUUUGCUGCAUUUAGCCAAAUUAUCUGAUUAUCAGCUGAUUGCUGAAGUCAUCUGAAGAAUCAAAAGUUAAUUUGCAUAAAGACUGCUAUAUUAUAUCUCAUAUUUUUUCUGUUGAUAUGAUUUUAAUAUAGUUUUCUGUUUUUGAUGCUUGCAGAAUCCCUUGCAUUUUCUCUGGCGGCCUGCUAUCAGAAAUUGGGUGAAUACAGAAAAUUGAGGCAUACGAUAAGAUACAGUGCUAUGUUUAUCAGAUCAGGUAGGCAAAACCCAAGCACGAAUAUUUUCAAUUGUUGUGGUGUUUGUUAUUCAGAUGCAACUGUUGAUGUACCUUCAUUCAUUGAAUGAAAUGGAUGAUGGGUUGUUCUGUUCAUUUG